AAGUCGUAACAAGGUUUCCGUAGGUGAACCUGCGGAAGGAUCAUUACAGUAACAUGCUGUAACAGGUGUCUUGGAUUAAAACGUUUAGUGGGAAGAGGGGGCCUUUCGCCCCUGCGUUUAACUGCUCCUCUAUCUGGCCUAUACGUGUACCCUCGUGCCGCAUGUAUAGGAAUCCACACCGUCAAACCUUGCAAACAAAACUUAACGUUACCUCGGCGGGUUUGCCCGCUGGUGGAUAAACACUUAAACUCUUUUAAAACAACGCUGUAAUUAGUGUAAAAGUCUGAAAAUAAGUUAAUAAUUUAAA
rnacentral:misc_RNA from 1 species